rnacentral:tRNA from 1 species
GGCCCAGUAGCUCAGUUGGUUAGAGCGCCGGCCUGUCACGCCGGAGGUCAAGGGUUCGAGCCCCUCCUGGGUCG